GAAUAUAGAACGGGAAGAGUUAUCUAAUAAACAACGAAGCAUGAUUAGUUACAUGACUAUAAUACAAUGUUGAAAUAAUUUAAGAACCAUGAAAACAAUAUUUCCUAACUGAAAUUACAAAAUCAAUAUGUUGUACAUAAACAACUAUGAUCACAAUAUUUGAAAAUGUACUAAUUGCACCCACCACUAGCAUUAAUCAAUGACUUGACAUGUUCCUGGAGAUUAGAGAGGCUUGGAUUGCUCUUAUAGUGGUACAUGAGGGGAACCAUUCUAGCAGCAUUGAGA
rnacentral:lncRNA from 1 species